GAAGCCUGCACCUUCUUAUGGACCGAGCUGAACUUGUCAAUGUUUGCGCACAUUAAAACUGAUGAAGAAUUCUGUGAAAAGCUUGCUAGUGAAGAAAACCUCGUCCUUUUACCAGGGAUUGCUUUUGGUCUGGAGAACUGGGCGAGGCAUUCUAUCGACAUGGAUAUUUUCGCUUUGGAGGAUGCAUUUGCAAGACUGAAGAGCUUCUGUGAUCGCAAUUGUUAUUGAAGCUUCAGUCAAAGACGUCAAUUGUGUCAAGUAAAAGGGUCAAUAUGAAUCUUUGCCUAAGUCUGUUUACAUAUUUUAUAAAAAUAAACGUGUGUUUUAUUGAUCUGAGAUAAGUCAUGAACACAUUCGUAUCGUACUUGUAUUUAAAAAAAUUGGUGUACUUAUCACCAACCAUGUAAU